AAUAUUUAGGCUUGCUUUGGUAGCAGCAUAUAUUGUAUUUGGAAACUGGAAAGAUACAGAAAAGAUUAGCAUGACCUUUUGUACAAGGAAGGCAUGCAAAUUCAUGAAGCAAAUUUUUCUUUC
ensembl:snRNA U6 U6 spliceosomal RNA